rnacentral:pre_miRNA from 1 species
ACCGCUUCCUUCCUUGCGCACACCUAAUUCCAGUAGUAAAGGAUGUGGCAAGACAGGCAGCGGUAGA